GCGCUGGGUGGCGAAACGGCAACGCGGCAUGAUGACAAAAUCAUGUAUACUGUAGGUUCAAAUCCUGCCCCAGCGCU
rnacentral:tRNA from 1 species